CUCCUACGGGAGGCAGCAGUGAGGAAUAUUGGUCAAUGGGCGGAAGCCUGAACCAGCCAAGUAGCGUGAGGGACGACGGCCCUACGGGUUGUAAACCUCUUUUGCGCGGGGACAAAGUUCGCCAUGCGUGGCGUUUUGCGGGUACCGCGCGAAUAAGGACCGGCUAAUUCCGUGCCAGCAGCCGCGGUAAUACGGAAGGUCCUGGCGUUAUCCGGAUUCAUUGGGUUUAAAGGGAGCGCAGGCCGCCUGUUAAGCGUGCCGUGAAAUGUGCCGGCUCAACCGGGGCACUGCGGCGCGAACUGGCGGGCUUGAGUGCGCGGAAGGCGGGCGGAAUUCGUGGUGUAGCGGUGAAAUGCUUAGAUAUCACGAGGAACUCCGAUUGCGAAGGCAGCCCGCCGCAGCGCAACUGACGCUGAGGCUCGAAAGCGCGGGUAUCGAACAGGAUUAGAUACCCUGGUAGUCCGCGCGGUAAACGAUGGACGCCCGCCGUGGGGUUUUAUGGUUCCGCGGCCAAGCGAAAGCGUUAAGCUCCCCCA
rnacentral:rRNA from 1 species